AGUUUGAUCCUGGCUCAGGAUGAACGCUAGCUACAGGCUUAACACAUGCAAGUCGAGGGGCAGCAUUUCAGUUUGCUUGCAAACUGGAGAUGGCGACCGGCGCACGGGUGAGUAACACGUAUCCAACCUGCCGAUAACUCGGGGAUAGCCUUUCGAAAGAAAGAUUAAUACCCGAUGGUAUAAUUAGACCGCAUGGUCUUGUUAUUAAAGAAUUUCGGUUAUCGAUGGGGAUGCGUUCCAUUAGGCAGUUGGUGAGGUAACGGCUCACCGAACCUUCGAUGGAUAGGGGUUCUGAGAGGAAGGUCCCCCACAUUGGAACUGAGACACGGUCCAAACUCCUACGGGAGGCAGCAGUGAGGAAUAUUGGUCAAUGGACGGGAGUCUGAACCAGCCAAGUAGCGUGAAGGAUGACUGCCCUAUGGGUUGUAAACUUCUUUUAUAUGGGAAUAAAGUUUUCCACGUGUGGAAUUUUGUAUGUACCAUAUGAAUAAGGAUCGGCUAACUCCGUGCCAGCAGCCGCGGUAAUACGGAGGAUCCGAGCGUUAUCCGGAUUUAUUGGGUUUAAAGGGAGCGUAGGUGGACAGUUAAGUCAGUUGUGAAAGUUUGCGGCUCAACCGUAAAAUUGCAGUUGAUACUGGCUGUCUUGAGUACAGUAGAGGUAGGCGGAAUUCGUGGUGUAGCGGUGAAAUGCUUAGAUAUCACGAAGAACUCCGAUUGCGAAGGCAGCUCACUGGACUGCAACUGACACUGAUGCUCGAAAGUGUGGGUAUCAAACAGGAUUAGAUACCCUGGUAGUCCACACAGUAAACGAUGAAUACUCGCUGUUUGCGAUAUACAGUAAGCGGCCAAGCGAAAGCAUUAAGUAUUCCACCUGGGGAGUACGCCGGCAACGGUGAAACUCAAAGGAAUUGACGGGGGCCCGCACAAGCGGAGGAACAUGUGGUUUAAUUCGAUGAUACGCGAGGAACCUUACCCGGGCUUAAAUUGCAUUUGAAUAUAUUGGAAACAGUAUAGCCGUAAGGCAAAUGUGAAGGUGCUGCAUGGUUGUCGUCAGCUCGUGCCGUGAGGUGUCGGCUUAAGUGCCAUAACGAGCGCAACCCUUAUCUUUAGUUACUAACAGGUCAUGCUGAGGACUCUAGAGAGACUGCCGUCGUAAGAUGUGAGGAAGGUGGA
rnacentral:rRNA from 1 species